rnacentral:lncRNA from 1 species
GAGGAAGCACAAAAAUGAGGCUGGUUCAGGCUGGCCGCAAGGGUACCUUAGCCAAGUCAGGCAUUCGCCAGGGAGACGGUACCAAAAAGAUCGAGGACAAGGGCACGUCAAAUCCUAAACCUGGUCCAGCAAAAACCUCAAUAGAUUUUAUGGAUCACAUCAUUACCGUAACAAUGUUAUGGGAGCAGUGGCUGGCUUAUGGUUUCUGUUUUUUGAAGGUUUUAUUCUGUUUUGGUCUUGAACCCUCAUUGAUCCUCAAGACAGUAGAUAUUCCUUCUCGAGAAUUUCAUCCCGUCCGUAACAUAAUAACCAAACGAUCCAAUUUUAUUCAAAAACAAACCCGUAAGACAAGGGAAGUUUUACGAUGUUGAUCUGGCUAAUUGAUUUCGAGUUAGAGAUGGUUAGGAUCAAAUUUAAAGGAUACAGCAUUCAUGGUAAACUGAUUUGGCGUGGAGAUUGUUACUAUUUGAAGUCUCUACCAUCAGCAGCCUUUCAAGUCGAAUUAGCAAAGACUCAGGCGGAGCCAUCAGAGGUAAUCACAGACUUUUUAGGUGAGGAAUGGUCUGGACUUGGUUAAUGAGGUUUUAGAGGAAGAGAUUAAUAAGUUAGAUGAUGAUGUAGUGGAGCAGGAUAAGUACAAUGUUGGUGUAGAUUUUAGUGGAAACAAUGAGGUCGCAGAGGAGGAUUUUCAAAAUCAUACUGAUGGGGAGUUUGAGGAAGAUACUAGGGCCCAUGAGGAAGUGACAGACAUUGUAGAUGAAGGAAAAAUUCUUGAUGAAGCGAAGGGGCAGGAUGGGGUUACUGGGGAUAUACUAAAGAAGCAGGGGGCGCACAAGAGGUUGUUUAAACUAUCGGUAAGCACCGGAGGAAGCACAAAAAUGAGGCUGGUUCAGGCUGGUCGCAAGGGUACCUUAGCCAAGUCAGGCAUUCGCCAGGGAGACGGUACCAAACAGACGGAGGACAAGGGCACGUCAAAUCCUAAACCUGGUCCAGCAAAAACCUCAAUAGAUUUUAUGGAUCACAUCAUUACCGUAACAAUGUUAUGGGAGCAGUGGCUGGCUUAUGGUUUCUGUUUUUUGAAGGUUUUAUUCUGUUU